UACGUAGGUGGCAAGCGUUGUUCGGAAUGACUGGGCGUAAAGGGCGCGUAGGCGGUUCGUACAGUCAGACGUGAAAUUCCCGGGCUCAACCUGGGGACUGCGUUUGAUACGUGCGGGCUUGAGUUCGGAAGAGGGUCGUGGAAUUCCCAGUGUAGAGGUGAGAUUCGUAGAUAUUGGGAAGAACACCGGUGGCGAAGGCGGCGACCUGGUCCGAUACUGACGCUGAGGCGCGAAAGCGUGGGGAGCAAACAGG
rnacentral:rRNA from 1 species